AUUGAACGCUGGCGGCAUGCCUUACACAUGCAAGUCGAACGGUAACAGGUCUUCGGAUGCUGACGAGCGGCGAACGGGUGAGUAAUACAUCGGAACGUGCCCGAGAGUGGGGGAUAACGAGGCGAAAGCUUUGCUAAUACCGCAUACGAUCUCAGGAUGAAAGCAGGGGACCGCAAGGCCUUGCGCUCACGGAGCGGCCGAUGGCAGAUUAGGUAGUUGGUGGGAUAAAAGCUUACCAAGCCGACGAUCUGUAGCUGGUCUGAGAGGACGACCAGCCAAACUGGGACUGAGACACGGACCAGACUCCUACGGGAGGCAGCAGUGGGGAAUUUUGGACAAUGGGCGCAAGCCUGAUCCAGCCAUGCCGCGUGCAGGAUGAAGGCCUUCGGGUUGUAAACUGCUUUUGUACGGAACGAAAAGACUCUGGUUAAUACCUGGGGUCCAUGACGGUACCGUAAGAAUAAGCACCGGCUAACUACGUGCCAGCAGCCGCCGUAAUAC
rnacentral:rRNA from 1 species